UUGAAUAAAUCUGGCGUGGUUGUCGCUGGCUCCUAGGAGCAUGUGCACGCCCGUCACUUUUAUAUUUCCACCUGUGCACUCAUUGUAGAUCUGGAUAACUCUCGUUUGGUCUCCAAGCGGAUGCGAGGAUUGCUGCGCCCUUUCUGUGGUCAGCUUUCCUUGAAUUUCCAGGUCUAUGUCCUUCUUUACACACCCCAAUGAAUGUUGCAGAAUGUAGUCAAUGGGCUUUCAAUGCCUAUAAAACUUUAUA
rnacentral:misc_RNA from 1 species